CACGUAGUUAGCCGUGACUUUCUAGGUAAUUACCGUCAAAUAAAGGCCAGUUACUACCUCUAUCUUUCUUCACUACCAACAGAGCUUUACGAGCCGAAACCCUUCUUCACUCACGCGGCGUUGCUCCAUCAGACUUUCGUCCAUUGUGGAAGAUUCCCUACUGCUGCCUCCCGUAGGAGUUUGGGCCGUGUCUCAGUCCCAAUGUGGCCGAUCAGUCUCUCAACUCGGCUAUGCAUCAUUGCCUUGGUAAGCCGUUACCUUACCAACUAGCUAAUGCACCGCAGGUCCAUCCAAGAGUGAUAGCAGAACCAUCUUUCAAACUCUAGACAUGCGUCUAGUGUUGUUAUCCGGUAUUAGCAUCUGUUUCCAGGUGUUAUCCCAGUCUCUUGGGCAGGUUACCCACGUGUUACUCACCCGUCCGCCGCUCGCUUGUAUCUAGUUUCAUUUAGUGCAAGCACUAAAAUCAUCUAGGCAAGCUCGCUCGACUUGCA
rnacentral:rRNA from 1 species